UAAAUCUAAAAGCAGAGAUAUCAGAUACCUCAAGAGACUAAAGGGCUUGGAAUUGAAAAGCAACUGGAGGAAAACUACUCAUUGAAUGCCUAAAAGCUACAAAAGAAAAAAAAUCAACAUUUGGCACAUAGUAAAAGAAUUAGGGUCAAAAAAUUUAAAGGAACCACACAAACCAAAAUCAGGACACAGGAUGGAUCAAUAACCACUGGGGAUGCACAGUUUCAAAAUGAUAUCUCUUCGAAUUCCUAGUGCACUGAGGGCACUUUGAGUUAGUGAGUGUGUUCUAGGCAUCUAAUGUUAUAUUUCUGGUCGAUUACCAUUGUUAAAUGUCCUUAUUUCAACUGUUGAAAGUUCUCAACUUUAAUAAAAUGUUUGGACAUUGAA